GACAGAGGGUGCAAACGUUGUUCGGAAUUACUGGGCGUAAAGAGUGCGUAGGCGGUUUUCUAAGUUUGGUGUGAAAUCUCCCGGCUCAACUGGGAGGGUGCGCCGAAGACUGGAAGGCUUGAGUAUGGGAGAGGUAAGCGGAAUUCCUGGUGUAGCGGUGAAAUGCGUAGAUAUCAGGAGGAACACCUGCGGUGUAGACGGCUUACUGGACCAUAACUGACGCUGAGGCACGAAAGCGUGGGUAGCAAACAGG
rnacentral:rRNA from 1 species